rnacentral:rRNA from 2 species
UGGGGAAUAUUGCACAAUGGGGGAAACCCUGAUGCAGCGACGCCGCGUGAACGAAGAAGGUAUUCGUAUCGUAAAGUUCUGUCCUAUGGGAAGAUAAUGACAGUACCAUAGAAGAAAGCUCCGGCUAAAUACGUGCCAGCAGCCGCGGUAAUACGUAUGGAGCGAGCGUUGUCCGGAAUUAUUGGGCGUAAAGGGUACGCAGGCGGUUUAAUAAGUCGAAUGUUAAAGAUCGGGGCUCAACCUCGUAAAGCAUUGGAAACUGAUAAACUUGAGUAGUGGAGAGGAAAGUGGAAUUCCUAGUGUAGUGGUGAAAUACGUAGAUAUUAGGAGGAAUACCAGUAGCGAAGGCGACUUUCUGGACACAAACUGACGCUGAGGUACGAAAGCGUGGGGAGCAAACAGG